CUUACGGCCAUAUCACGUUGAAACACAGUUUCUCGUAAGAUCAACGAAGUUAAGCAACGUCGAGCCUGGUAAAUAUCAAGAUAGGUGACCGCUUGAGAAUAUCAGGUGAAGU